rnacentral:rRNA from 1 species
GGGCUUGACAUCCCACGAACCUGGAAACAGGGUCUUCCACUUUGGUGGACUGGGUGACAGGUGCUGCAUGGCUGUCGUCAACUCGUGUCGUGAGAUGUUGGGUUAAGUCCCGCAACGAGCGCAACCCUUGCCUUUAGUUGCCAUCAUUCAGUUGGGCACUCUAAAGGGACUGCCGGUGUUAAACCGGAGGAAGGUGGGGACGACGUCAAGUCCUCAUGGCCUUUAUGCCCAGGGCUACACACGUGCUACAUGGGCGGCACAAAGGGAAGCGACACCGCGAGGUGAAGCAAAUCCCAAAAAACCGUUCUCAGUUCGGAUCGGAGUCUGCAACUCGACUUCGUGAAGGUGGAAUCGCUAGUAAUCGUGGAUCAGCAUGCCACGGUGAAUACGUUCCCGGGCCUUGUACACACCGCCCGUCACACCACGAAAGUCUGCUGUACUCGAAGUCGCUGAG